rnacentral:rRNA from 1 species
GGAGAGGGCUAGCGUUAUUCGGAAUUAUUGGGCGUAAAGGGCGCGUAGGCGGAUUAGUAAGUUAAAAGUGAAAUCCCAAGGCUCAACCUUGGAAUUGCUUUUAAAACUGCUAAUCUAGAGAUUGAAAGAGGAUAGAGGAAUUCCUAGUGUAGAGGUGAAAUUCGUAAAUAUUAGGAGGAACACCAGUGGCGAAGGCGUCUAUCUGGUUCAAAUCUGACGCUGAGGCGCGAAGGCGUGGGGAGCAAACAGGAUUAGAUACCCUGGUAGUCCACGCUGUAAACGAUGAAUGUUAAAUAUGGGGAGUUUACCUUCUGUAUUACAGCUAACGCGUUAAACAUUCCGCCUGGGGACUACGGUCGCAAGAUUAAAACUCAAAGGAAUUGACGGGGACCCGCACAAGCGGUGGAGCAUGUGGUUUAAUUCGAUGCAACGCGAAAAACCUUACCACUCCUUGACAUGGAAAUUAUACCUAUUCGAAGGGAUAGGGUCGGUUCGGCCGGGUUUCACACAGGUGU